GAGGGUGUAGCUCAGUGGUAGAGUGCACGCUUAGCACACACAAGGUCCUGGGUUCAACCCUCAGCACCUCUA
rnacentral:tRNA from 1 species